UCCUCAGAGUCUGUGGAUUGGCUGCUGCUUGAGCGCUUCAGGAAGCUGGGCCGUUUCCCAGAGGUUUUCAGCUCCAUCCUGUACCACGGCACGCGUACCUGUAGCCACCCAAAGGACUUUGGUGGCCUGCAGCACACCCUGGAGCAGCUGCUGGACAGCAACUCCACCCGCUUCCCAGUCGUCUUCUUCAAAGCCCUGCAGUGAGCGCUUCAAUGGGGAGAUUUCUGAUGAGCUCAUAGCCCACAACUGCUUCUUCCCUGAUGAGUACUUCACCUGCUCCGGCCUCUGCCUUGUUUGCGGGCCUGGUGAAGGAUGCUGCGCGUCUUGCCUACUGGGUGCCUGACCACAUAUCCUCUCCUGCCACAUCUGCCAUCGUGACUUCACUGCCAAGCUGUCAAAGCACCACUGUCGCGCCUGCGAGCAAGACGUGUGUGACGAAUGCUCCCCAGAGCGUCGGCCGGUCCCCUUGCGGGGCUGGGACCUCCGUGUUUGUGCAAACUGCAACCAGAAACCUGGCGACCUUUAAUGGGACUGGCCCUCCUUCCUCAGAACACUGGACUGAAGGUUUGAUUUGGGUAUGCAUGAACAUCCAUAGAUCCUAUUUUUAAACCGGUCUGUUUUUGUUUAGAUUUAGGAUAUUUGGUCUGCAAAUAGCAUUUCAGGUAACUGUUUCUGUGYAGACAACCUCUUUGGUAUACAUGGAGGUAAUGGUUGUAUGAAAUKAUGCUAGAAGACUGAAUUCAGGAUUUUAGAUAUGGAAAAUAAACUUUUGUAGAAAACGUUUGUWCAGCUUGAAAGUCUGAGAGAUGCAUUGCCUUUGAGGUGUUGUGAGGUAGUCUGGGUACCAGUCUCUGUAWCAUUCCACUCCUUGUAAGUCAUGUCAUGCGCCAAAUUGGCAAGUGACACGGCAUACAAGGAGUGGAAUGCAAUAGCUGAACAGAGAACCCUGGGAAAAAAAUCUGUACUUAACCUCAUUAUUUAAUUCAUAAUGGAUGGUAUUUUUGUAAUGUAUCUGACCAUUUCUGUUACUUGAURUGCAUUAUGCAACUAGAAUUGAAUUGAGUGGCAGUUACUUCCAUUUGUUUGAAUCUUGUUGAGCUUCUGUUUGUUGAACACGCAGAUUCUCCUUUAACCCAGUUUAACAUAACAAACGCAAGCCUACAGAUCGCCAUAAGCAUAGGCUGAUUGGACAAUGAACUCAGCAUUUCAGUUUCAACACAUUUAAUGAUUUCUUUUGAGCCAAUUGCUUCUGUGGCAUUAUUUGUUAUCCACGUUAAAGACUGCAUUGUCAAAUAGAUUGCAUGUUUGUUCUUUCAUAUUUUGUGCUUUUUAGUCAUUGAGAUGUUAUACCUCGUUAACGGAGUUUUAUGGGCUUUUCUGAAUAACUUUUUGGUAAUUUUGAGUUUACUUGCUUUUUUUUCUUUUUUUUACUGUAAUCUGUUCUUUGCAUACGACACUUGGAUAUGCACAGUCAGCUGGCAUUUUUACCUGAACCAUGUCACAUCUUUGAUGGUUAUAUGAAUAUGUGGCUGAAAUGUAGUUAAUCAAAUAACUUCUUUAUAUCCAGAUCUAUUGAAGUGUGUUUUGAAAGAGUAAUUUUAAAAGUUCAACCAGGGGAACAGUUUUACCUGGAUGCAUGCUAUGCAUGCUAUGCAUGACAGUAGACAUACUACCUUUACAUUGGAGUUUGUAAUAAAAAAAUAAGUAUAGACAAAUAGUUGUCCUGUAAGAAUUCUAGAUAUAAUUGYCAUUUUGGAGUGUUUUGUUUGAAUUUUUUACUUUUGUCUAAGAUGUAACCCUGUAUAGAAAUGACAAUGAAUCUGCAUUGGCUGCUGUCAAAAUGUUUAUCUGGUUGAAUGUCAUUGUAUAAAACUGAUGUCUGUGUUGCAUAGAAUAAUAGCCAGAUAAUUUGUCCCCAGCAAGUCCUGUUUCCAAAACCCAUUACUUGAGAUGAGAUGCACCUGUGACAGAAAUUAAGAAAAUAUACUGAAUUCUUGUAUCGACGCUCCUAUUGUCGACAUAAGAAAAGGUAUGAAACACUAUAUUGUGCUCAUAUUAAGUGUGAUAAAGUGUGGAUGUUUGCAUAUUCACAUUGUCUGUUA